AUGGAGAUAUCCCAAGAGACAGCUGUGAACAUUGUAGAAUAUACUGCACCAGGAGAAUUGUCACUACGAAGUUGGGCAAUCGAUGAAUCUGCCACUGUAAAUGAAGGUCAUAGUUCAAGUAGAGAAUGGCCAAAAAUAGUAAAGAGCAAUUUUUAUCGAGGUCGGCCAUUUCUUCCAAAGUGGAAGAGGGCAUUUUUAGCAUCAUGUGUAUUUGGGGUCUUAAUAGAUCCUGUAUUCUUUUAUAUUCCUAUCAUCAACAAGGAUACGAAAUGCAUCGGGUUGGACAAAAGUUUGAAAGGAGCUGUUAUUUCACUACGAUCGACAACGGAUCUAUUUUAUGUAGUGACCAUUGUUAUUCAAAUUUAUAUCGAACCUAAAGUUCCAACAUUUAGGGUCAUGGGGAGAUCAUAUCUCCAUACCAUAGUUUUGACAAAAGGAACCAUAUUAGUUGAAGAUGCUUUGGCAAUGGCUAACAGGAUUUGGAGGAUUUCAUCACGCAUCGUAAUUGACUUUUUAGCUGUUCUUCCCAUUCCACAGGUAUGAGUAAAUUGUUUUACGACCAAUCUUUGUUUUUCAACUAAAUUUUUUGCAGUGAUCCUUAUUUUCAUGGACUCUAGUUCUUUGAAUACGUGGAAGUUUUUGGCUUUUCUUGCUCUGUUGCAAUAUGUACCACGGGUUCUUCGCAUCUACAUAUUAUGUACAAAACUCAACAAGACUCCUGCUAGAGAGACUGAGAUCUGGAUUUUAUUUAAAGGUGCAUUCAGUUUCUUUUUGUACAUCCUUGCUAGUCAUGUAUUUGGAGCUUUUUGGUAUUUUUUAGCUAUCCAGCGGGAGACGGCUUGCUGGCAAAAUGCUUGUCGAAACAACAAUGGAUGUGAACCUACUACCUUUUACUGCAAUGGUGGUACAAGCAGAAACGUCACAUUUCUGGACGACUUAUGCUCUAUAAAUCCACACAAUGCUAAUGCAACAUCCUUCGAUUUUGGUAUGUUUGUUGAGGCUGUUCAAUCUGGUGUGUUGGAGUCAACAAAUUUACCGAAAAAAUUCUUUCAUUGUUUCUGGUGGGGCUUGCGAAAUCUAAGUUCUCUCGGGCAAAACCUCCAGACGAGUAACUAUACAUGGGAAAACAUCUUUGCCAUUUUUAUUUCUCUAAGUGGCUUGCUCCUGGUUCUACUAUACCUCACUACAAAUUUGAAGAUAUGUAUGGAGUUGGCAACUAGAACAUCAGCCAAGAUGAGAAUUAUACGGCAGCUGAAAAUGAAAGAUCUAGAGGUACAAUUAUGGUUAUCUGAAAAUGACAUCCCUAAGAAUAUGAAGGCGCCGAUCAUGCAAAAGGUGCACAAACAACUUGAACAAAACAAAGAUGUUCAUGUGGAGAAUAUCCUCUCUAUUCUUCCCUUGGAACAAAAGAGAUUUAUUAAGCGACAUCUCUGCUGGCCUACAAUGAAGAAAGUGCCAAUGCUUCGAGUUAUGGACGAUCAAGUGUUGAAAGAAAUCUUUGACAAUCUCAAGCCAAUGAGCUAUACAGAAGACAACUAUAUAAUUGGAGAGGGUGAACCACUUGUUAAAAUGUUCUUCAUCACUCGAGGCAUUUUGUUGACCUACACAACUAACAAUGGUGCUAGAACAAGUAGUGGAGGUUCUUCAACCACCAAGUGUCUUGCCAAAGGUGAUUUCUAUGGAGAAGAACUUCUAACCUGGGCAUCAACAUUCUCCCCGCUUUCAGACUUACCCAUCUCCACAAGAUUUGUGAAGUCCCUCACAAAAGUGGAAGCAUUUGCACUCAUGGCCAAUGACUUGAACAUUAUAGCGUCUAAAUUCUGGAGGCAUUUUAGCACGGAUGGUCGGAUGCCGGUACAUCUCUCUGCAAAUCUUAUUCAAACCAACUGGCGCCACCGCGAUACAAGGAGGGCUAUGAACCGAACCCUCUCAGCUCCCGCAAGGAGGGCAACCCAAACCCUCUCAUCUCCAAUUGAUGACUAUUAUGACUCAUCUGGUCCCCUUGAAGGACGGUAG